UGCUAUUUUGAUAUAAACGCCACUAAUUUUCAGUUUUGACUGAAAAGACGAUGUUUUAUUUCUUUCCCCCCAACUCCCUUUUCUUUCUCAGCCAUUCUCAGCCUGUACUUCUUUUUCUCUCCCCCGAUUCCCUUUUCUUUCUCAGCCUUUCUCAACAUGUUCUUCUAUUUUAUACCCGAAAAAAUCGUUUAGUCUCUCAUUUUUGUUUUUUAAUAUGUAAAAUGGAGAAAAAAAAAUCCAAAUAGAUGGUCAAAAGUGCGGGAAAAAGAAAAUUGGGUGUUGUUGCAGAGGACCGGGAAAAUCCCAAAAAUGUCUAAUUUUUAAGGUGCAAAGAGAAUUAGGGAUUAGGGUUUGAAUCAAAAGGGAAAUGGAGGAAGAGAAGGGAACAAAAGGAAGCAAAAACCUAAGCCUGAAUGGUAAAGAAGAGAAAAUAAAUCUGAGUGGUCAAGUUCAUAAUCUUCCAUGCUGCAUCAAAUUCAAUGGCCCUUGCAUUGUUUCUCAGUACUUCAAACCCAAACUUAAGGGAUGGAGAUUGAUGGGUUAGCAGUAGAGGAAGUGCAUUUUAGAGGAAGGAAGCUUCAAGGACUACUAUUUCUCUUCCAAAUGGCUGGAGGGGGUUUAAUGGAUUUUUGCAAGUUUGAUUUUGUUGGAAAGAUGAUUUCUUCUCCUUGAUGCUUUGUUCCUGCGAAGAACAACUCUGGAAAGAGGAAAGCUUGUGAUGUAUCUGAAGGAAACUCAAACGAUUGGGAAAUGAAAGCCAAAUUUGAUAAAUUGACAUAUUGGAAUCAUGAUACCCCUCCUUCAAAAGAUGAUCCCUUCUUGCAUUCUUUCCAUUGGUUUACUAUUGCAGAAGCUGUAUGUUGGCGUGGGUGAUUCAGAAGAAGUUCAACUCUUUUACUACUUUGUGAAGUCGGAGGGGAAACCUGAAGACAACCCUCUUUUGAUUUGGUUGACUGGUGGCCCUGGCUGCUCUGCCUUCUCUGGUCUUGUUUUCGAAAUUGGUGUCAAACAUCAUAUUUAUAGAUUCACCAGUAGGCACAGGUUUCUCCUAUGCUAGAAACAAUCGCGCUGCACAAACCGGUGACUUGAAACAAGUUCACCAUCUCCAUCAAUUUCUUCGUAAGACUGGUGUGAACAAGCUUGUUGAUUUGGUUGGAGUCACUCUUGGACCAAAAGGC